GACGAACGCUGGCGGCGUGCCUAAUACAUGCAAGUCGAACGCUUCCUACCAGUGCUUGCACCGGGAAAGAAGAGUGGCGGACGGGUGAGUAACACGUGGGUAACCUACCUACAAGCGGGGGAUAACAUUCGGAAACGGAUGCUAAUACCGCAUAGAUCUUUUUGUCUCCUGGCAGAAAGAAGAAAGACGGUUUCGGCUGUCACUUGUAGAUGGACCCGCGGCGCAUUAGUUAGUUGGUGAGGUAAUGGCUCACCAAGACGAUGAUGCGUAGCCGACCUGAGAGGGUGAUCGGCCACACUGGGACUGAGACACGGCCCAGACUCCUACGGGAGGCAGCAGUAGGGAAUCUUCCGCAAUAGACGAAAGUCUGACGGAGCAACGCCGCGUGAGUGAAGAAGGUUUUCGGAUCGUAAAACUCUGUUGUUAGAGAAGAACAAGGAUGAGAGUAACUGCUCGUCCCUUGACGGUAUCUAACCAGAAAGCCAUGGCUAACUACGUGCCAGCCGCCGCAGUAA
rnacentral:rRNA from 1 species